AUUAUGAUUUCUUGGGUUUUACAAGCUUUCACAUUCUAAAAAAGGUAUAGAUAUGUUCCUGAGCUCACCAGGAACACAAAUGUGACUUCAAAAACUUCGAUCUGCAACGAAAUGAUCAGGUUUGAGGUUUGUCUGUAUGUAUUGUAUGGAAAUGGAGAAAAACCGAGAGGGAAGAGAGAUAGAGGGUCAACGGGAGAGAGAGAGAGAGUAUGUGUGGUGUGUGUGGUCCAGUUUUGGGUCACUAACAACAACCAAAACCAAAACAAUUUGAACCUUAGUUCUAAUUGGGUCCAAAUAAUAAGGGAUAGAACUUAUUGGUCCAAAACCUUAGUUUAUACACACACACAACUCAAGAAUAAAAAGGGUAAAAUCGACAUUUUGCGCCAUCAAGAAAUAUAUCUCGGGACGGGCUGUCACAUUCGGAAAGAAGCACAAGUUAAGUAAAUUUUCUGAUCUUAGGCCAACUUAAAAAUAUAGGAUGCUAUUAAAAUUGAUGUGUAUUAGAUGAAAAUUUUAGAUAGAUUGUAGUUAUUGCUAUGAUUAUUAGAAUGUAAUUAUGAUUUUUUUUAUAUAGAAACUCCAUUCUAAUCCUUGGCAAAAAAUGACCUUUAGACUAAAAUCAUGAGUAAGAUCAAAAUAUAAUUUUAGUCCCUUGAUACAUUAAUAACCUCAUUUAUUAAUUUACAUUUUAAUUUUUAAAUUAUUUCUCUUUUUCUUCCUAAUUUUAAUGUAUUAAUUAUAUUUCAUUAUAAUUAUAAUUUUUUAUUCAUUUAUCGUAAUAUAUUUUGUUGUAAACAUUUAGACAAACUAAUUUUUGUUAUACAAUAUAUCGUCAUUUAGGUACAUUAAAUUCAUUAUAAUACAUUUCGGUACAUACAUUUUGAUAUAAAUAUUUAGGUACAUUAAUUCAAUAUAAUACAUUUCGGUAUAUACAUUUCAGUACUAACAUUUCGGUACACACAUUUAGGUAUAUUAAUUUAAUAUAAUACAUUCCGAUGCAUAUAUUUCAGUACAUACAUUUCGGUACUAACAUUUAAAUACAUUAGUUCAAUAUAAUACAUUUCGGUAUAUACAUUUUGAUACUAACAUUUAGGUACAUUAAUUGAGUCUUUCAAAUUUGAAGAAUGUUAAAUAAAUUUAAAAUAAAAACUUUUUUUUGGUCAAAAAAUAAAUUAAAAUUUGUAUUAUCACAUCCCGACCUGGGCCCCUACCACAUCUUGGGCUCGACUCCGUCGUAGCACGAUAUUGUCCGCUUUGGGCCCCGGCCACGCCCUCACGAUUUUGUUUCUGGGAACUCAUACGAGAACUUCCUAGUGGGUCACCCAUCCUGGGAAUGCUCUCGCCCGAACUCGCUUAACUUCGGAGUUCCGAUAGAACCCGAAACCAGUGAGUCCCCAAAAUGCCUCAUGCUAGGUAGAGAUGGAAAUAUACAUAUAAGGCUUACAUGAUCCACUCCCCUAGGCGAUGUGGGAUGUUACAUGUAUAAUAUAAAUUUAAAUAUUUAAUGGGAGACAUUAAAUAAAAUCCACAUCACUUAUUUUGAAUUAAGGACACAUAAAGGGACUAUAAUCAAUAUGUAAUCUUUCACAUAAAGGGACUAUAAUCAAUAUGUAAUCUAACACCAGGUUUAUUUUAAAUUUCAAUAUUCUUGAAGGAUUAAAGUUAAAAAAAAAACCCCCUUUUUUAUAUUAAUUUGAUCAUGUGCUGGUUAGUUUUAAGGGAAGGGAUUCCCUUUUUUUUUUUUUUUUUUGAAAUGGAAAUUAGUUGUGAGAGCCACUCCACAUCAAACUUUAAUAAUCCGAACCGUCUAUUUUGAGGAAAGAAAAAUGAGGAUUAGAUUUUUGUGAAGAAAUUACAAUAUUCAUUGAUUUAUAUGUACAAAUAAACAUUGACGAUGGGGUGCAAACGAUAGGACUCAAUAAAAACUUUGUUGGGAAUUCCACUCGUUCGAAGGAAAAGAGCGUCCCGCACUAAUACAACUUACAAUUAAUUACUAUCCUCAACGAGAAGGUUUAAGAUUACGUCGGGAGGUUACUAAGAGGGUGUUGGGUUAAACCCAACCUAGCCAAGCGAUGCGCUACCUUGUGCGAGGUCCGUUAUCCGUAAAUAACCUUCCAUUGCGCUUGAUUCUCCAAGAUCCUUCUUGUAUCAUCAAGAAUAUGUCCGAAUGGGGAAGAGUCCUUCACACCCUUGUGAGAAAGAGCAUUAAUGACCAAAAGAGCAUCACCUUCAAGUUCCAACAGUACGUGGGAACUGGGAACCGCUGCUGCUGUGCAAAAACAGCAGCUUCCCUUGCUGCCAAAAUUUGUCCCAGCAGCGGGGAGAAUCCCAGUCACCUUAGUGGAUAAAGCAGCCAAAAACUCUCCUCUAUCAUUCCGUAAUACGAACCCCAUACUUUUCCGAGAAUGAGCUGAAAAUUGGUUGGGUUGGACCAUGGUCCUGAAACUCCCGAUCAGUCGACAUAACUUAUGACACAAGGUUAUUCCGCGUAAGUGCCUCAAUAAAUGAAUAGUUGCAUUAGGAUUGUGAUUUGAUACGAAUUAUUAAUAUUAAUAUAAUUUUGAAGUCGAAUCAUUUUAGGACAAUCUCUAAUGAAAAUGUCAAAUUAUAACAGUUAAAUUAUAAUUAAUGGCUAAUGUGACAAUUUGAAGUCUUAUAUUAAAUUUGACUCGUAAUCACAAAGGCUUCAAAUCCAGUUAACAAAUAACAUUUCAGUUGGAAGUAAUUUUGAUGUCAAAUAUGCACAGUGACAUCUUCACUUAGAAUUUGACAUUUCCUUCGGAGAUGCUCUUAGGUUUUUUUUCCAAAUAAUUUCAAAUAAUGGUACAUAUUUUGAACUCCAUCCAUUAGUAUGUAUUGUGAUACAUUUGUUAUCAAUGUGUUACAAAGACAUAUAAUGGUAAUAUACGCAUAGCUGAAUGGUUUACAAUGGCCAACUUAUGAAUAGCGAACAAAUUGGUACAUUUAAAAUUAAGGGCUAGUUUGGUUACUUGAGUUUUUUAAAAAGCAGCUUUUUGAAAAAGUUAGAACAUCAAUUGUAUUUGGUAAAUGAAAAAAAUAUAUUUUUUUUCAAAAUUAUGGGUCCAAAACAGCAAAAAACAGAAGCAGCUCUACACAUGCUUUUAAAAAAAACAUGAGGCAAGCAAAUAGUACCAAUUAUUGAAACUUUCAUAUUGACAAUCCUACUCUCAUCUUUUUUUUUGCUAAAAACAUUUUUACACUAUAAUUUACCAAACACUGUAUAGUAGAAACAAUUUUUUUUAUUUUGUAUUUUAUUUUAUUAACUAACCUUAAAUUAAAGAAAGCUGUAAUAAAAAGGGCUUUGUCUAAGUUUAAUUUAAUCAAAAACCAUAUUAUACUAUUAUUUAAUCAAAAGGGCUUCACAUUUAAUCAUAAGGACAAAACUAAUCUAUAUCAGACUCACAAACAUUUAACACACAUGGGCUGAAUUAAAAACCCAAAACAAAAUGAAUGAUUUUUCCACCCUUGACCCUAACAGAAAUCCCAUCCUAUCAACCACUUCUGUU
rnacentral:lncRNA from 1 species